UAAUUCGGUUUUCCAAAGGAUUAAAAGGAAAUGUUGGACCUGUUAGGUUUCUCUUCUCCUCCUCUGAAUCAUAUAUUAUAUAGAAGAAUUAAGAGGUUCCUUUCCAAUCGUUGUAAUGGAUGAUGGCAGAGAGAUUUAUAGACCUAAAAGUUCAUCUCUAUGGUGACGCAUUAAAACAUAUGGAGCCACAAGUCUUUAUGUUCUGCAAUGAAAUGAAAACAUGAGAUUCGCAACCGGCUGCAUCAUGAGAACUUCAGCGGUAUGCUCUCAGGUCUGAUUCCCCUUGUGAUUUGUGUUUGGCUGGGCUUUGCCAUUGCCUCAUUAGUUGGGUUGUAAAUUCUGCUCUACCAAACAAAAGGGUAAGUAAAGAGAGAGUGUGGGCCAAGGGCGGGGGAAGAAAAAGUGCUGCGAGAGAAGAAACUCCCCAAUAUUCAAGGGUUGUUACAUAUUUUGUGUUGAUGGGAAUGUAAGCAUCAAGACAUGAUCGCAAAGAAGGUGAUUGAUUAGAUCCAUAGUUGAAUUGGGUGAUGUGAAGGAUUCUCAUUGUCCCUCUUGUACUGUGAUGGCUUAAACAGCUCAGUGCUUCGCAGUCGCAACAGGUUGUUGCAAAACUGAUUCGAGGAACACGGUUCACGUUUAUGGCUUAACAACCUUCAGUGGAGGACAGUUCAGAGCCCAAACGGUGUCUGCUAAGUCAUAAGCCUCGAAAGUCCAUGCAAGAAGCCAUAAAAGCAGCUCCACCUACCGGGCCUAUUCCGUUGAUGGCAUCUUUCACUUUGACUUCUCAUGGCUUUCAUAAUGUUUUUUAGCUCUAAAUGUCCAAACUGCAAGCAUGUUAAGCUACUGUUUGGACCUUAUCAUUUGGUGAGAGCCCUGUAAAAAGACACCCAGUUGCCAUUUGCCAAUCAGGUUGGCUUGUCAGCUUAGAACUCUAAUGAUUUUAAAUUUUCUAGGAAAUUUUUUUGGUGAAAACUACUAAAUGCUUUAUGUGGCUGUGAUUGAUGAAAGGGUGCAAAUCCAGGAAAGUGAUGGAAUUCUUUUUCAAAAGAAGACGUGACAUGCUGUUAUAGGAUACUUUCAGUUUGAUUGUGAACCUCAAGAUUCCUCUACUAUAGCGUGGAGUGUGUAAACCAACCAAGCAAAUAUAGGAAAAGACAACAUAAACAAUGAACCUGAA